AGGACGAACGCUGGCGGCGUGCCUAACACAUGCAAGUCGAACGAGGUCCAUCCAGUGGCAACACUGGGGGACGACCUAGUGGCGAACGGGCGAGUAACACGUGAGGAACUUGCCCCGGAGACCGGGAUAACCCUUCGAAAGGAGGGCUAAUACCGGAUGUCCUCCCCGAGCCGCAUGGCUUGGUGAGGAAAUGGAUUCCGCUCCGGGAGAGCCUCGCGGCCUAUCAGCUAGUUGGUGGGGUAACCGGCCCACCAAGGCAUCGACGGGUAGCUGGUCUGAGAGGACGAUCAGCCACACUGGGACUGAGACACGGCCCAGACUCCUACGGGAGGCAGCAGUGGGGAAUCUUGCGCAAUGGGCGAAAGCCUGACGCAGCAACGCCGCGUGCGGAUGAAGCCUUCGGUGUAACCGCUUCAGGUGGACGAACCGAAGACGACCACAGAACGACGCCCGACAAC
rnacentral:rRNA from 1 species